GCCUUCAUGGUGUAGUGGUCAGCAUGCUCGACGCAUAACCCAGAAGUCCGUAGUUCGAUUCCUGGUGAAGGUG
rnacentral:tRNA from 1 species